rnacentral:rRNA from 1 species
AUUGAACGCUGGCGGCAGGCCUAACACAUGCAAGUCGAGCGGAUGAAGGGAGCUUGCUCCUGGAUUCAGCGGCGGACGGGUGAGUAAUGCCUAGGAAUCUGCCUGGUAGUGGGGGAUAACGUCCGGAAACGGGCGCUAAUACCGCAUACGUCCUGAGGGAGAAAGUGGGGGAUCUUCGGACCUCACGCUAUCAGAUGGGCCUAGGUCGGAUUAGCUAGUUGGUGGGGUAAAGGCCUACCAAGGCGACGAUCCGUAACUGGUCUGAGAGGAUGAUCAGUCACACUGGAACUGAGACACGGUCCAGACUCCUACGGGAGGCAGCAGUGGGGAAUAUUGGACAAUGGGCGAAAGCCUGAUCCAGCCAUGCCGCGUGUGUGAAGAAGGUCUUCGGAUUGUAAAGCACUUUAAGUUGGGAGGAAGGGCAGUAAGUUAAUACCUUGCUGUUUUGACGUUACCAACAGAAUAAGCACCGGCUAACUUCGU